AGGCUGGACCCAGCCAGCCUCAAGGAGGGAAGAGAGGGACAUCAUGGUGGCGCUGGACUCCCUGCAGGGGCUCUGCAGAGGCAGAAGAUGAACAGUAAGAUGCAAAGAUCUGGCAACCUUCAGAGCUGGAUGUUCUCACAGAGCUACACAUGCCACAGUCAUCACUAGUUGCGAGAGUCUCCAGUGUUCAUUAAGCCUAUUUUGCUGGAAGUUUAGUCCCUGGAGGAUUAGUCCCUGCCCUUAAGGAGUGCCAAAGAAGACUUUGGAAUCUAAGUCACAUCUCCCCUGCUGCAAUUUUUUCCUCUUGAUAAUCAAGGAAUCUCACUGAUAAAACUCUCAAUGAGGAGCAGCUCUCCCCAUGAGCAAGUUCUUGCCUUCAUUGCCAGGGAGGCCCCAGCUAAGGUUAUACUGGGAAAGGAAUCUCUGGGGAGUACCUGGAAGAGGUCAGCUUCUCCUCAAAGGAAGCCUCUCCAGCUGGUGUACUGCAAAGCCUUCCAAGACCAAGUUCCCUCUUCCUGGCCUCUGGAACCAGCCUGUGUGCCAGCGCUGUGUCCCCAGUAACACACAUGAGUCUCUCCCUCAGAAGCCACAGAAGGAUGCAGAGAGAGACCAACCCAGGAUUGAUUCUCAGCACUUACUAAUUGUGUGGACAUAACUGCUCUGGACCUCAGCUUUGCUAUCUAUAAAAUGAGCACCCUUUUUAUAGAUAUGAACACUUUAAGAGAGUCAUAAAGAUUGAAGUUGAUUUGUGCUGCGCCUGGCACAGAGGUCUCCCUCAGUAAAUGGCAGCCACUGCUAUUGGGGUGCCCCAACACCCCUUGCCCCUGCCCACCAUUAGCUUUCACUUAGGCCCACACUGAGGGUGUGGCUGUUGUGUUGGGGGAAGGAAAAAAACCAUGCCUGGGUUGCAGGGCCCCCACCACCAACUGGUCUGCUUUUGUGGGAAGCAUUUUCUGAUGCCCUCGCCCUACCCGUGGGCUGGUUGACUAAGUGUCCAGCAUCAUGAGGAAAAGAGCAGGGUUCAGGGACAGCUUGGCUCAGCCCUGAAACUCAUCUGGGCCUAGGUCCAGAUGAGAGGCAAGCCUGGGAGGCCUUCCGUUGUACCCUUGCCUAUCCUGCAGCACCCUCUAGCCUGCAGGCCGCUCCUGGGUGGCAUAGCACCUUGGAUGUCAGGUGUGGGCCUUCCCAGGCACAUGGCAUGAGGGGGCACUUCUGUGGGUUGUUGGGGGCAGGAAGGGAUGUGUCUCCAGCUGGACUUGGGCUCUCGCAUUUUGGGGCCCAGCCAUGCCAGGACAGCACACAUGGGCGCUUAGUGCGAAUCUCAUGAUGGAGCAGAGGAGGAGCAAAGCAAAACCAGGGAGUCCCCAGGCCCCUGCUUCUGCCCCGCCCAGAGACAGUGGAGCAGGUGUCUCCAGCUUCUUAACCUCAACGCACAGUAAGAAAUACAUUUUACAGCAACCAAUAGACACAUACAUUUACAAAACGA
rnacentral:lncRNA from 1 species